rnacentral:rRNA from 1 species
GAUGAACGCUGGCGGCGUGCCUAAUACAUGCAAGUAGAACGCUGAAGCUUGGUGCUUGCACCGAGCGGAUGAGUUGCGAACGGGUGAGUAACGCGUAGGUAACCUGCCUGGUAGCGGGGGAUAACUAUUGGAAACGAUAGCUAAUACCGCAUGACAACAGUUAUUGCAUGAUAACUAUUUAAAAGGGGCAAUUGCUCCACUACCAGAUGGACCUGCGUUGUAUUAGCUAGUUGGUGAGGUAACGGCUCACCAAGGCGACGAUACAUAGCCGACCUGAGAGGGUGAUCGGCCACACUGGGACUGAGACACGGCCCAGACUCCUACGGGAGGCAGCAGUAGGGAAUCUUCGGCAAUGGGGGCAACCCUGACCGAGCAACGCCGCGUGAGUGAAGAAGGUUUUCGGAUCGUAAAGCUCUGUUGUAAGUCAAGAACGAGUGUGAGAGUGGAAAGUUCACACU